CAUCCAUCAACGAGCUUAUUAGUUCUGCCUUGAAAACCUCCUUCAAGUCGCAUCUGCCUAUUCACAGUCCAUCUCUGCAAUGACAGUUUGUGCUCUACAUUUAGAAGUGAAAUAAAUAUACGAAAUUUCAUGAUUUUCAAUCGUACCAGUAAUGACGAUAUAUCACACAGUUUGGACUUUUCGAGUAACAGUAAUGCAGCUAGAGCACAGAAAGCGUAUCCUCCAUGAGCUUCCAUGCCUGGGCAGCCACCAAAACCACCUUCCCACGUCUGGCAACUUGCUAUCCACUCUCCAGUAUUCUUGAACAUUUCCGGAUGGUACACGUUUGUUAAUCUGGCCACAGAAACAGCACAAUACGCCCCUCGUAUGUCAACUUCUCCCCCAACGUGCAUACUGAACGCCCCCUCGUCAUCUCUCAAAGAAGACAAGAACCGACAGAGCCCCUGCCUGCAAAGCUUCUGGUGUCCCAAUGGUGCAGAGAGCAUUCACAGCUGCAUAGGUUGGUGCCAGAUGGGGGUGUUGCCCUGGACCUCCACCAAACCCACCUUCUGGUGAUUGGCAUUUUGCUAAGAAUCCCGCUAUAUGAGAAUAGUCCUCAUCUUCUAAUCUUUCUCCUAGUAUUUGCAGAGCAUGAAGUAUCCAGUAACAGAGCCAAGGUCUGCUACUGUCUAGACACUGUCACAAAAUAAAUUGUGGUUAUCUUGCUUAUGGAUUAUACUUUAUUUUGUAUUUUUGAAGUAUUUUUGUAUUCUCGUAUUUAGCGAAUGGGAAAAUUGGAAUUGAAUGUGUUGUGAAUCGCUUCUUGUGUUUGUGUCUUUAAAACUUCUUGUCUUUCUGCAAUAGAAUUAUUGAUAAGUUAUGAAUGGAACAAAUCAAGAUAUGAGACAAAACUUUGCUGAA